UUUUCCAAGAACAGGAAGGUGUGAGCCAUCACUGCUCAUCUGGCACAACUUGCCUUAUGGAAGUAUCCCUAUGCUGUUUCCUCAUUAGCAAGGUUUUUCAGCAUCUCCUUAAACCUACACCUAAAUGAAGGAGCAGAACAGAGCAGAGGCUGUGAUUCUGUGCUUUGCCUCCCAGAGUUUUAACACAUUGAGAAACUGAGUCACAGGGAGAUUGCUCAGGAGCUGGAAUACUGGAAAGCAACCAGUACUGCAGCAAGGAUCACAACUGAGAAAUCUAGGCAGUACACAGAGGAAAGGACUUCUGCUUCCCCUGCAUGAAACCCAGAAUAAACCCCAGCUGAUCAAGUCUUGCUUGCAAGCUCUAAGUGCCUGUUUGUAAGAAAUUUUGAGCAAAAAUUAAAUUUGACUGAAGCACUGCCUUGGGGCUGCUAA